CGCGGUAAUUCCAGCUCCAAUAGCGUAUACUAAAGUGUUGCAGUUAAAAAGCUCGUAGUUGGAUUUCUGGCGGGGACGGCUGGUCGGUCUCGAAAGGGGCUGUACUGUUGUUGGUUCCCGUCAUCCUUGGGGAGAGCGGCUCUUACAUUAAGUUGUCGGCGUCGGGAUCCCUAUCUUUUACUGUGAAAAAAUUAGAGUGUUCAAAGCAGGCUUAGGCCCUGAAUACAUUAGCAUGGAAUAAUAAGAUACGACCUUGGUGGUCUAUUUUGUUGGUUUGCACGCCAAGGUAAUGAUUAAUAGGGAUAGUUGGGGGUAUUCGUAUUCAAUUGUCAGAGGUGAAAUUCUUGGAUUUAUGGAAGACGAACUACUGCGAAAGCAUUUACCAAGGAUGUUUUCAUUAAUCAAGAACGAAAGUUAGGGGAUCGAAGAUGAUUAGAUACCAUCGUAGUCUUAACCAUAAACUAUGCCGACUAGGGAUCGGUGGGUGCAUUUUUAGGCCUCAUCGGCACCUUAUGAGAAAUCAAAGUCUUUGGGUUCCGAGGGGAGUAUGGUCGCAAGGCUGAAACUUAAAGAAAUUGACGG
rnacentral:rRNA from 1 species